CCGGGGUUGGCCAUCGUACCCGUCCCCCGUACGACCCCAG
rnacentral:rRNA from 1 species